UGGAUUACAUGCCACCUUAGCCGGCGUCGCGGCAGUAGGUGUAUGUCUUUAUGAUCGCCGGAGUGACCGGUCGAAUUCGCUUAAUGAUGGUCUUCUCGAGGACAGGGGUCGCGGGGAUAACCUCCGCUCACACAAACCACACGUUUUGAUUGCCAAGACCUGAGCAGUUGGCAACUUAUCAUACACAACAAAGGGAGUACCUCAAUCCACUCCCCAUUCCGCUGUACCACACCACCUCCACAGCAUCCAACCAGCAUCCGAUCGAGACCGCUAGUCAGCAUCGCUGCUUCCACGCAGCCUCGUCCGCUUCCAUCCCUGCAGUUUACCUCCCCCUGCAGUCGCUGCCGCCCGCCGCACACGUCGCUCCAGCGCAAGCAAAAUAGCCAGAGGCAGCGCAGCUAAGGCUCUCGCGCGUGCCGGGGGGCAUCGCACACGCUCUUACGCGCACAGGCACUCACAACCUAGCCGACUCAACAAUGUCAAAAUGAGCGAGCUGCUUAGAGCCCCUUGCCGUUGUUCAGGCCGUCAGCGAACUUGGCCAGAGAGCCCAGGGCGCCCUCGCCAGUCGACAGAGCCUGCACACCGUAGCCGAAGAAGGAGACCAUCGCCAGGCGGGCGUGCUUGAUCUCAGCGGUCUUCAGGCGGAAGGCGCGCUCCUCGUCCUCAGAGGCCAGCUUGAGGGGGUCGAACACGCCGCCGGGGUAGCAGCGCUUCUCGGGGUUGGUCUCGCUGUUGCGGUAGAACUCAGCGCCACCGACCAGGAUCACCUCAAUCCAGAUCAGCUGGGUGAUGGAGAAGGGCAGGGACAGGCCGGCGUACGAGGCGCCGUCCAGCUCGACCUUGCCGGCCUCAACCCUGGGGUGAGGGGAAGUCCACACGGUGGGCACACGUCAGCGAGAUUACAUCGACGUAGCAAUUAUGACGCAACAACUCAAGCUCGCGCCAAUGCAAGACUAGUAAACCGGCCCGACGACGGGUGUUGCUAGUGAUCAGGGCCGACAUGUCAACCCGAAUCAGCCUGAUCUACAGAUCUGAACGCGCCGCACUGAACCCAGACUCACCAAGACACACCGGUGGUGGCCUCAGCCACCAGGGCGCCCAGGCAGGCAAGCAUGGCCCAGCGGCCGUGAAUCAGCUCGCACUCGCGGAAGCGAGCCAGGCCGAACACCUCCGAGUAGGGAGCCAGGCGGUUCUCCGAGCUAACCUCAUCGGGGGUAGCCUGGACGAUGGCCUCGACGGAGCCCUUGUU
rnacentral:lncRNA from 1 species